UGGCUUGCGUUUGGGAAGCAGCUUUUUCAUGGUUUUAGGGCUCUUACUUAGAUCCUCUUUGUAACAAAGUGCUGCUGAAGGCCGUAGUGGAGGUGCAGGCCGCAAACAGCUCAGACUCCAGGGCUUGGGUGUUUUAGGAGGUUCCAGAGGUCCCCAGUUUAUCGUGGUAUGCGGAGUCCCAUGAUGUGACGGAUGAGGGAGAGUGUGGUAUGCAGGAGUCAGUGGUAUCUGCUUGCUGUCCGAGUGCUUGCUGGAGGGUGUUACUGGAUGGGAAGGAAGUGUGUGAGAUGGCACAGAAUGAGGUUUAAUGGUGGGAUUCCCAACAGCUGUGACUUUGGUUUGUUUCUGCAGGUGAUCCACCCACUCAUGCAAAUCUUGUUGGUUGUUACAUGACACUAGUAUCCUUUCAAUCAUAGUUCCUGAUAUUUCAAAUGCAUUUUUAUGGUUUUCAGUGUCUUCUAGUUUUGUGAUAGUCAUUCCAGUCAUUGGUAGUUUCCCCUGAUAGAUGAACCCACUCAUUCUCGGGCUGGCAGACAACAUUAACAAAAUGUUAGGGAAGAGAAGAAGAUACCUUUCAUUCUUUUCCUCACUUCCAGCGCACUGAAUCAUGACCUGGGACAUGUAAAUCACAUUGCCAAGUGUUUUGAUAUCUUCUCCCUCCCAACAGCGGAUUGCUUCUGUUAGUAUUUGUAGUUCAAGUUCUUUUCGUUUCCGUACUUCUUGACAUUGUGCAGAAAGGUUUUUGAAGGCUGUCAUGGAUUUUUGAAUAUCUGGACGAUCUGGAUGAUAAUCCUCCAUGUGCCUUUCAAGCUCUUUGAGUAACGUGGGGUAUUUAUCCAGACGCAUAAAAGGUUUGCUGAGGCCUGUGGUCAGUACAAGGAUCCCGGGGCUGUUGGCACCUUUCACCUCCAUGAAUUCUCCUAGUUCCUCACUGUGUUCUGUGAGAACAUUUACUGCUGAUGGAUGAUUGGCACAGUAGGCAAGGUAUAAGUUUUUCAUUUGUGACAUCAAAUUUAGAAAACAUCCUCCAACCCUCUGCUGAGCUUCAGGCAACUUGGUGCAUUCUUCUAAAGACUGUACAAGCAUCUGCUGGAAAGAACUUAUUUCUUCCAGAUUUCCCAUUAAGUAUGAAGUGUUUGUCGAGCUUAACUUUUCACUGGCUUGUAAUGGUCGCAGGUAGUUUGAAAGCAUUGUCUGUAGCUCCUUAGAAUAUUCAUUUUCUGUUUCUAAUAUAUUUUGUAGCACCACAUUGUAAUAACUUUUGUUGAUUGCAGAUGUAUCAAAGCCUUUAGGUGGACUCUUCAAUGUACCUGAUUUGGGGGAGACCGGCUUUUCAUUUGAUUUUAUUUCUCGUACGUAGUUACUUGGAAACCACCCUGUUUUGCCAUUUAGAGUUCCUUCCCACCAGCCUCCUUCUUCCACUCUUGUUACAUGAAUAAUAUCUCCUUUUGAAAAAGAAAGUUCAUCUUCAUUUGUCUGUUGAAAAUUAAAUUUUGCUCUCACCACCAACUGAUGGUUGCUGUUAUCUGUCAUGUCCAAACUCCGAUACUGUCCCUGAAAGAGCUUUGAAGUUCUACUGUGUAAAGACUGAGAUCCCAGAGAAUCAAAGGAUUUUAUCCGAUGAGAUGAGGGACGUGCACAUACAGAGUCACUGCCCAGCCCUAUGUCUGCAGUCACCUUAUUUAAAGCAACCAGAGAGCUGAGAACUUUGCUGAAGUUCUGGCCCUGAUA
rnacentral:lncRNA from 1 species